AGGAGGAACUGACUCAUGGAAAGCCGCAGAGUAACAGAACAUAAAAGAUACCUGAGCACACAGUCUGCACCCUUCGGAUCGUGAGACCAUCUGUCACCUCCCACCGUUCCUCUGCCCACAGAAGCCCACUCGAGCCCGAUGAAGUAAUGGCUUCUACCCUGACGCAUCAACAACACAUGGAUCUCAGAGCCAAAAGAAGCCAACAAAAAUACGACUUCGGAGAGUGAGACUGCCUAAUGAGAACAAACAAAGAAUGGCAGAUAAACGAGGCACUUGGCUAUCAAGACAUUAAACUUAACACAACUGGGAAGAAGGCCAGGUUUUAGCUUUCAGAAUACGGUGCAGCAUGCCUCCAAUCUCAGAACUGUGAUGGUAAAAGACAGGAUGAUGAAGUGUUCGGGUCCAACCUGAGCUACAUGGUAAGGUCUAUCUCAUACUACUCCUAGUUCUGCACAUGCAAAAGCUCUCACUUUAGUCAACUGUGUUUGCAUUAGUCCAACAAGAUGAUUUCGUAUGUGUUCAAGAAUGAGACCAUUUGAAGUUCUUAUUACAUGUGGUGGCUCAAUUCUAUACUGAGGGGGCACUUAGGGAAAGUGUUAUAGGUUCCAGGCCAGCAGGAUCUACACCGUGUGUUCCAGGUCAACUGGCUGUACAGAGAGGCGAUGUCUCAAUAAACAGACAGACAACGUGCUUGCAA